rnacentral:rRNA from 1 species
GAUGAACGCUAGCGGCAGGCCUAACACAUGCAAGUCGAGGGGCAUCGCGGGUAGCAAUACCUGGCGGCGACCGGCGCACGGGUGAGUAACACGUAUGCAGCCUGCCCCGAACCGGGGGAUAACCCGAAGAAAUUCGGACUAAUACCCCAUAGCGCGUAGCGGUGGCAUCACCACUACGCUAAAGAUUUAUCAGUUCGGGAUGGGCAUGCGCCCUAUUAGCUAGUUGGCGGGGUAACGGCCCACCAAGGCAGCGAUAGGUAGGGGUUCUGAGAGGAAGGUCCCCCACACUGGUACUGAGACACGGACCAGACUCCUACGGGAGGCAGCAGUGGGGAAUUUUGGACAAUGGACGCAAGUCUGAUCCAGCCAUGCCGCGUGCGGGAAGAAGGCCUUCGGGUUGUAAACCGCUUUUGUCAGGGAAGAAAUCUUCUGAGUUAAUACCUCGGGAGGAUGACGGUACCUGAAGAAUAAGCACCGGCUAACUACGUGCCAGCCGCCGCCGUAA